CCCCUCUCGGGAUCACACCUGGAGAGUUUCCGAUACUCUACCAGUCUCGGCUACGGGAGGGAGAGUCAAGCCGAGGCAUACCCAUUCCAUUCCUAGCUUGGGCAGUGGCUAGUGAGCGAAAGGCAAUCCGCUACAAGU
rnacentral:snoRNA from 1 species